GUGAAGGAAAAAGUGUAGUACAAGUCGUUGUCGUCAUUUUAAGCCCAAGAUCGGACUUGGGGGUGUUGAUUUCGUGGUGACUACCCAAAAGAUUGAAGUUGAAGGGGGUGAAGGACAUUGUGAUACGCCCAAAAGCGGAAGGUUAAGGUACUGAUAUACAGGACGACACAUCUGCUCAGUAGGACAGCAUUCGUAUCAGCUUAUUUGUGAGCCCCAUCUCAUUCGGGGUUUAGUCAACUUUUAUCUUAUGAUUAGUUAUGCAUCUAAAGGUAUGCUGGGGGCCUUGUCCCAGUAAGUAUGUUUUUCAGUCAGACUCAUGAUAGAGGUUUCAUAGACUAGAACAGACAGUUAUGUCAUGUCAGAUAAUCGAAGUCGCAUAGCCAUUUUGGCUCACUCAUGUUUAAACAAGUACUUUAUUAAGUAUUAUGACUUAUUAUGUUUUAUAAAGGCU